rnacentral:sRNA from 1 species
UUUGUCUUUUAAAUCCAGCUAUUAGCAAGUACCAUUACUUCCUACUUCAAUACAGGAACAUAAACAACGAGUUUCACUGACUUAAUCACAUCUCCAAGAUAUUCAUCACUUUGAUUCUACCUUGCAUACGGAUCAUGUGUACACGCAUGUGUCUGCUUGUGUGUGAAGGCCAAAGCACAACUUGGGGGUUGUUCCUUAGGGACCAUUCACCUGUUUUUGAGACAGAGUCUCUUUCUGACCUAGAACUCCCCACGAAGGCCAGGCUGACAGCCAGUGAGGACCAGGGACUGUUACUCUCUGUGUAGCACUUGGAUUACCGUGUGCUACUACAGCUACCUUUUAUAUACAGGUGCUUGGGCUAGUAUUCAGCCCUUAAACUUGCAAAGCAACUAGUUUACUGACUAGCUACCUUCCUGGCCUCUACAAAUGGGUCUUACAUGGAAAGCAUGCCUAAGUAGUAGCAUACAAUGGCUUUGGCUGGAGAAAAGAGACCCAUGAUGAGAAUUCUCCUUGUUUGCCAGGAAAUGGCCUACAGUUCUAUGACAUCUUUUUAAACUCCUCCUGGAUGACCACAGAAAGGAACUUUGUAUAAGGACAUGGUCCUUUAGCAGUAGAAAAGGAAGCUUUAGGAUCAGACAUGCAAAGACCUCCUACAGGAAAUAGCUCUUUCUAACUUAUCCCAAAGACUGCACCAAGACUGUGGCCCAGCACACACUCACAUAUAAAUGCUGUUAGCUAUAGUGUCCACUGAAGUACAGAGAUAUCGCCUACUACCUUCUCAUGAACAUGAGUAUCAGUGGCAUAUGACAUUCACAACCAAAUCAAGCAUCUGUAUUUUGAUUUCUGUUAUCUCAAGUGUUUACUGAGAGAUUACAAAGUACUGGGAAUGCAGCAGGGAAUAAGGCAAGGCCUAUACAGGGUAAGAGUGUACAGAAAUACUAAGAAGUCAAUCUCAAGCAACGGCAGCUCUCUCAUUGCUUUUACGGGUGUAGAGAAUGUCAUGGCUACUGAGAGUUCAUCUGCUUCUCCUCUGCAGCUAUAUGGAGGUAUCUAGAAGAGGUGACAGUGGGCAGAAGGCGACCAAUUCUGAGGCCACUCGACUGCUCAGGUGAGGAAUGGUGGUCUAGAAUGGUGAUGGUAGGAACAGAAGUGAGCAGACUCUGAAGGUGAAAUGACCAUGGCCAGCAAAUGAUGUGAAUGUUCCUCUAUUCCAGGAACAGCAUGUCCCACUUUAACCAAAGGGGUUUCAACUUCUGCCUCCACUCAAGAUGGACUCCUUGUUGGCAGACUUGGCAUAAGCUGUCCAUUGAGAGAAAUCCCGAGAGAGCCCAUCCUCAGUCUACAGACUAAAAGUCUCUUUUUAAAAAAGAUUUAUUUGUCUUAUUUUAUGUGUGAGUGUUUUGCCUGCAUGCAUGUAUAUGUACCACAUGCAUACAGAAAGAGGUUCCUAGAACUGAAGUUAGAGAUAGUUGUGAACCAUCGCGUAGAUGCCAGGAACAAGAUUCUGGUCCUCUGCAAGAGCAGCCAUUACUCUUAAACACUGACCUACCUCUUCAGCUCCCGUAGUAGCUGGUAGUCCAUGUAUUCAACCAAUGCAUGGUAAGUUGAGUAGUCUGACCAUAACAGUAACACAGAAAAAUUUAAUAUACCCAUCACUCUUCCAUGUGUACAAAUCAGAGGGCAAAUUGCUAGAAUCAGUAUUCUUUUUCACCAUGGGUUCCUGGGUUCAAAUUCAGGUCAUUAGGUCUGGCAACAAGGGUCUUAAGGGCUGAGUCAUAUCAUGGGCCCACACGGGUUCUUGUUUUGUUAUACUAUGAACAUACAUUAUAUUAUAGACUAAGGGAUGGAGAUGCUCAGCAGUUAGGAGCACUUACUGCUCUUGGAGAAGAUCCAAGUUUACUUCCCUGAACCCAUAGGGUGGCUUAUAACUGCCUUUAGCAAGGAGACCUGAUGCCCUCUUUUGGACCCCACAUGCAAUGUGGUACUCAUAAAUUCAUACUGGCUCACACUCAUUAGAUAAGAAAAUCUUUGAAAACUAUUAGUGUGUUUCACUGUCCUAGCACUGGAAUUUUUGGCAAUUACUUUUGAUGGAUGUAUGUGUUUCUACAUGAUGCUGACUUCAGUUUAUGUCAUCAGCAACACAACUGGGGAAGGACAGAGGAACGGGAAAGCUGGGUCCUUAAUUAGUGAGCACAAGUUCUUAUAUGAUUAUCUCUGAGUCUCUGUUGUUAAAAGGAUGGAAGCUAUUAGCACAGUGCUACUCAGAAACACUCAGUAGGGGUUAGGGGACGGCUCAGGGGUUAAGAGCGCUUUUUGCUCUUCCAGAGGACCAGGGUUGGAUUCCUAGUACCCUGGUUUAUGACCCUCUACAUCUCCAGUCCCAGGAGAUCUGAUAGCCUCUUCUGACUACUGCAGACACUAGGCACACAUGGUGCACAGACAUACAUACAUGAUAAGCACUCAUAUAUAUACAAUGAAAAUUUUAAAAGGAAAAAUUCCCUAAGUGACAGUCAUUAUUUUUAAAAUAUGUUAAGCCUUCACUAUUGUUUGUGUACUCUGUAUGCACUUAAAGUUGUUCAUUUUGAGAGCCUUAAUUUACUAAAUCAUUACUAUCAUGCUGGAUUUUUUAAAGUGACUAAUGGCUUACAUCUUUAUAAAUAAAAAACUUUCGAUGUCUUUAUGAUUUAGCUUUUUAAUUUUUUUACCUUGCAUCUCUAGUUUCCUUGAAUUCAAAGAAUAGAAUUGCUAGUUGGUUUAUUUUUAUUUUCUUAAAGGGGAUUUAUGUAAAAGUAUGCUAAUUUAUUAAUUUCGGAGAGUUUCACACAAUGCAUUUUGAUGGCAAUCACCUCUCACUCCUCUCCCAACCUCUUUAAGAUCCACUUUCAACUUCCCUUUUCUUUCUUUUAAUUGCUACUGAGUCAACUUUGUACGUCUAUAGACUCAUGGUAUAGGGCCAUCCAAUGAAGCGUUUAUCUAUCAGGGGUUGACAUACCAUCAAAGAAACUGACUCUCCCCUCCCAGAAGCUAUCAAUUUUAUUAGUAUCUCGUCAGUUAAGGGUGGGACUUAUAAGCCCCUCUCCACUAGAGGAACUUUUAUUAGCACACCACCAACAAAAUAAUGAACGUUUCACUAAGCACAUUUUAGCAUUUGUGUCUAAUAUACAUAUAUUACAUACACACACACAUACACACAAAUAUAUUCCCAAAACUUUUGCAACUUUGUUAUUGUUGUUUGUUUGUUUCUUUUUUGAGACAGAGUUUUGCUAUUUAGGUGUUGUGGACCUAGAACUAUAUAAACCAAACUGGUCUUGACCUCAGACAUCUCAGACUUCUGCAUCCCCAAGUGAUGGGAUUAAAGGUGCCACCACCCCGCUAGCAGUUUUUUUAAAAUUCUGAGGUAGCUGUUCUCAGUUAAGACAUGAAGUAAAUAUGCAACAGCCAUAUUUGUUUAAGCCUCAUCAACAAUGAAGCUUCUUGGUGAAAUGUUUGGUGAAACGUUUUUGCUUGCUUCUCAAAGUCCAUUUCCAUCCACUUAGAAUGCUCUAGUCUAUGGAAAUGCUUCGAGGUCUAACAACUCCUCCCACAGAGUAGCAUGGAAACUGAGGUACAGACUACAGGUGAAAUGGUAGGGUCCCUGAGUCCUUUAGGCAGCUAUAGACCAGAUCCAGGUCUCUCAGGAAAGAAAUGUUGUGAGGUAAAAGGAAGAGAUGAAUUGUGUGCAAUAUUAUAUAUACCCUCUCAGGUUCUGUAUCACUCCAACACUCACCCCCCACCACACCCAUAUUAAUAUUCAUGUCACUGUCAUUUCAGUUUUUUUUGUGUGUGUAUUUUCAUAAAGUCUCACAGAACCAAUUCUGUAGUAUUUCUACUGGAACCCUUUAUAUAAAGCAUCAGGGAACCAUCCACUGCUCUGUAACCUCUCAAGAAAUGUUAGCAAAUUCAGCUAGUCUACCAAAGUGAUACUUACCCUUAACCUGUCUUUAAGAAGUUAAUAAUUUAAAUAUCUUAAAUCUAAUCUAGGCUCUGUUUUAGUUUAUUUGUUUUGAGACAGGGUCUCAUUAUGUAUCCCUGGCUGGCCUAGAGCUGGCAGUGACCUAUUGUCUCGAUCUCCCAAGUGCUGGAAUUACAAGUGUUUACCACCACAACUGGCUCUGCUUUUGUUUCUAUUCUUUUUGUUGUUGUUAUUUUUUAACUUGGAAUAAACAUACAUUUUCUCACAAGGGUUUCCUCAUUCUUUGCUUAGUGAAAUCACUCCACUCCCUGAAGCUCUACAACUUUUCCUUCCAUCAAUGUAAUUCACAAUACACUGAACUUAAACUGCAGGGGAAGGCUUUGAGAGUCCAUUGUUUUUGUGGUUCUAUUUCCCCACUGUCUAGCACUGUGUAGAAUAAUACUAAUUCAGUGUUUCAAAAAGAGAUAAAAGAAUGUUCUACAGUUAAGUGACAAGCGUUCAUGGGAAGAGCAGCACAGUGAAAGUUCCAUUAACUCUAUGUUCUUUGUUACAUAGUAAACACACUCCUAUCAUGAGACAAUUCUGAAGCAUCCUUACCCCCAAGUCUGCAUUAGCUAAACAAUGCUAUUGUACAGAGUGUCCCAAGAUAUUUAACACCUGGCACCAACCCAGGCUUUUCUGUAAAUAUAUCUGUUGUACUUUUAUCUGCAAUUCACAUCUAACCCAUUCUUCAAAAGUCAUGUAUGUGUGUGUGCAUCUGCAUAUCCCAUAAGGACAUGGUUAGGAUCUCACAGAAAUGUGAAAUAUCUGUUUGCUAACCAGUAAAAUUCACAGGAAGCAACUGACAUUAAUGGGCAAGAAAACAAAAGAAUUUGGAUCAACAUAUAAAAGGAAAACUACGACUCACAACUGAUACAGUAAAGACUGUGUGUCAUUUCAUCUCAGAACUGUGUAUGAGGCCACAUCUUGUUCAAUCUUUGUUAUAAGAGAAUGUAUUUAGCUUAUGUAUAUACAGAUGGACUUGGCGCCCACCCUGCAUAACAGGCUCUCGGUUUCUACACCUGUCCCAACUGAUAUUUAUGUCACUUUGGCAGGCUUGGCUGGCUUGUGUUUAUUUUUUAUAAAAUCCCCAGUACCCUACAGGAUGAACCAAGACUCAACAGAACUGAGCAGCAGUCCUGAUGGAGUGGAUAAGCCCUACUGAGAGAACUAAUGUCAUCAUGUCCCAAGGAGAAGGGAGAGGGAACAGCAGAUACACUGUAGAGACAGAAGGUCUGUAACAUGUUGGUUCAUACUCCACCUAAGCAUAUCUGGUAUCUAUGUGCUUGGCACAAAGAUGUUGGUAAUAUAAGACCGAACAGAAAUAUAAGCCUUCUCCUUGAGAAGUUUAUAAUAAAUCAUAGGUACUCAAUCAGGUCACUGUUACAUGACAACAGUGCUGGCUUAAAUGUAUCUGUAGUAAGGACACAGGACUUUGAGUGCCUGUACCAGUCCCAAGUGCUCAUGGGAGGCUUCCAGGAGGAUGGUGUGAUCAGGACUAAUGAGAAGAGGAAAGGAAUUCUUAGGUACUCCAGUGGUUGCAAAGAGCUUACUGUGAGGAGUUCAAGAAGGGAGAGAUGCCUUAUAAGAACUACUAGGCACUCAGAACCUAAGUUGCGUGAACUAUAGUGCAGACCAUGCAGCAAUGGAGUAACCCGCAAUCUUUAGCAUCCUCACUUUGAAACCCUGUCAUAGACAAUGGUUAUCAGGGAAGCCUCUAAGAGCCAGGUACUCAACACAACUGCUUGGGUUGACCUAGACUCUAAGAUGUCGAAUAUACUUGGGCUGAAGGUACAGGGCUGUAAACUAAAGCAGCAGACUAUUCAAGAAUAUCCCUUUCCACACAACAGGUAGUGAGUAAAAUGUAAAACAGGCUAAAUGGCUUUCCAACAGGAGAUGCAGAAAGCUUCCAAGCCAUUAAGUGCCAAAGGCCUGUUAUUAAACCCUAGUUCAAAUGCAUCUACCCAGGAAGCUUAGCAAAUGCUAUCCAGUUCUAGUUCUCUGGUAGGAAGAAUGUCAGAAGAAUGAGUGGGGAUGUGAGCUUUAAUAAUUUGACAAAAAAAGCAAUGCUGUCUAACACACUGUUAGAGCUUAGUGAGAAAAUGCUAAAAAUCCAACUAUUUAAGAAAAAAAAAAACUAAAGCAAUUUAAGAGAGAUACCCCCUCCCCCAAGGAAAUAAAAUAUGUACAGCUUAGCAGCAUUUAUCACUGAUAAUGUAUGUUAAAAUUCUUUUGCUUUCUAAAAAUUCCAGUUUUAUUGGCACACUCUAGGCUGUUAAGAUUUUAUGUUGAAAAUAAUCAUUCUGUUCAGGUGGCUUUAGUUCUCCUCUUUGGAUUUUUGUUGAUACAGUGUCUUGCUAUGUAGCCAUGGCUGACUGCAAUCCUCCUAUGUCUUCCUUUCAGGGGGCUAGAUCAUAGGCAUGGGAUUCCAUACAUGACCAUUUCUCGCUCCUUUCUUAUCACCUCACAUCUAGUAACAUAGGUUAAACUCUACUUCGUUUCAUAAGUAAGUCCUGUGACUCCUGCUUCAGAAUACCUUCUGAAUCUAUUCAGCUACUCUUGCCCCUCCAAGGUAGCCAGCGUCUCUUGCAUAGAUGACUAUCAUAACCUCUCCAGAAUCAAGACCUCAUUCUCGUUGUCUCCUCACUCUGGUCUCCAUCCAGUAAGCAAAGGGUUGUUCACGUUGCUCAGAAGUCUCGGUGGCCUUAGCAUACUCACUGAAGACCAUCCCUUGGCCACGAGGUCCCCUUAGCCUAGCCCUCUAUCCAGCCACAUGGAGCUCUCUUCAAAUAUCACUGGCAAGUUCCAGUCUUGAGGCCUUCAAGGAUAUUCACCUUUCUACUGGGACCAUAAGCAGACUCCUGCUACUCCAUAAGCAGACUCCAUAACCUACUCCUGCCUACCUGGUUUCUUCAGGUCCUCCAGGCUUCUUCAGAAGAGUCCUCCUCCCCAACACUGCUUUGCUAUGUCAAAGUACCUCCUGAUGAUCUCUCUCCUUUCUACCUACUGACUUACAUGCAUCUCUCACACUGGAAUGAAAGUGCCAUGAGCAAACAGACUGUAUGUUCAGUGUUGUACCCCAGGGCCUGAAAUGAAGCCUGACAAGAAUAAGCAUUCAAUAAAAAAUUUAUUUAGUUUAUAUGCAUGUGGAGAGGGAGGGACAGAGCAAGCACACAUGCUUAUAUAUGGGCACAUGCAUGUGACCUGAGAUGCUGAGAACAAGUGUCUUCUUCAAUCAAUUUCCAGCCUAAACCUCACAUUUGUUGAUUUGGCUAGACUGGCCAGCCAGCACGCUCUGGGGUCUGCUUGCCUGAACCACCAGUGCUGCUUUGUUUGGCUUUUGCACGGGUGCUGGAAUUUGCAAACUUAGGUCCCCAUGCUUGCAUGGCAAGCACGUUGCCUGCUAAAGCAUCUUCCAUUUCCCACAGGUAUUAUAAAUCGGCCAGAUAUAUUUUCUGUUGAACUGGGCUUCAGUUAGUAUUAUGAAAAUGUUUCUCAUUUAAAAAACGACAAACAAACCAAGAUAAAUAAAUAAUGCCAUCUUGACUUGCAGAGAAAUUACAUGAGUUCAAUGGAAAAUAUGGCUAUACUCAAAAUGUUUGGUAGGCAACUGGUCUUCUGUCUCUUCAGUCUUCCUUAAGCCUUUGCUACUUCAAACAUUAUACGCCUGUUUGCCCCCCUGUCUGUGGUUAGUAGCACAGUCUCUUCCAGUUAUUUCUAAACACUGCUGGCUCUGAUCUCAGGGCCAAGUGGGCUGCUCCACUACUUCUGUUGCUUGGUUCAGUGAAGUUUGGGGCCAGCAGCCACUGAAAACACUUUAGAACACUAAGAAAACUCCUGGGAGGGGGAGUUUUAGAAACAAGCACAAACCCUUCCCAAGUGGGUCCUUUCGGGUACAGGCAGCUUGGCUGAUACGGGUGCCUUUCAGAGGGGCAGUGUUUCCUCUUCGUGAAUGAGUCCCAUUGAUGAGGACACACUAAGUAGGCAGUGUUAGCUCUAGGGACAGCCACUCUACCCUGGCAUCUGUGCAGGGUGGAAGAGAAAGGAACCCCACAGAGACCACUAUUUCCCAUCAGUCUUUCACUUCCCUUUGUUUGCCUCCCUAACCAGCCUCGGUCAGCUCCAACAAGUUAGAGCAACUGCCAAUUGUCUUUUCUUUUUCCAGUUGGUUUUCUUUUUAUACUUUACUCAUUUUUGCUGGGAGGUGGGGGCUGUGCCAAAGUGUGCCUGUGGCACUCAGGGGGGCAGGCUUGUUCAGCAAGUACUGUACUUGGUGACCAUCUCACCAACUGCCCCUCCCUAUCCUUUAUGUUUGUUGUAAUGUAGGGUCUUCACAGCUCAGGUCUGCUUAGGACUUGACGUCCACCUGAGCCUGUGCUGAGUGCUGGGAACACAGGUCUGGACCACCUACCUGGUUCAUCCCUUCCUCUUUCUUUUAAAAUGGCUUAUUUUUAUGUACACUGGUCUUUUGCCUGGACGUAUGUCUGUGUGAAGGUGUUGGAUCCUCUAGACCGUGAGUUAUAGGCAGUUGUGAGCUGCCAUGUACGUGCUGGGAAGUAAACCUGAUUCCUCUGGAAGAGCAGCUAGGAUGCUUAACCGCUGGACCAGGUUUCUAGCCCCUCACCUCUCUAUUUCUUGAAGCGUAAUCUUUCUGUAGCUUUUAAAAGUUGAGAUGUUGGGAUUCUUUCAUAAAGAUAAGGCAUUCUUUUAAAAAAUGUUUAUUGCAUUUAUUUACUGUGGUGGGGAGGUACACUCAUGCCAUAACACACGUGUGGAGGUCAGGAACAACAUGAGGGAGUGGGUUCUGCCCUUCUACCACAUAGGUCCUGGGAAUCCAACUCACACCAGACAUGGCAGCAAGAGCCUUUAUCCACUUAGCCAUUUUGCUGGCCCUCAAACAAGAUAUUGUAGUGGGGGUUGGUCUUGUGCACUGUAUAUUCAGAUGCUGAUUCCUGUGUCUGGAGAUCUAGCCUUACCAUGAUUAUUGAACCAUCUCCUAUAUCAAUGUUGUAUAAAGAAUGUUCUUUAAUCAUCCGAAUGGUUCAUAAGGAGCUGAUCAACAUAUGGCUGGGCAGAGGCGAUAGGAAGGCUAGACUUGUGAUCCCAGCCAGGGGUCCUAGGGAGGAGAGGAAAAGACAGAGACCCCACAGAAAUAUCAAGAGGUGACCAUGAGGCAACGUGAUAAAAGCAGGUUGCCAAGGGAUUCACCAUGAGGACACACAUGGAGCAGAGCAAACCAGGGGCAGACUGAGAUUGAAGGUAAAGAACCAUGUGGCUGAGAAAUAGCCAGAGAGGGGUAGAACAACUCAGAGCCUGCCUAGCCUAGGCUUACAGAUUGUCAGUAAACUUAAUAGGUCUUUGUGUCAAUUAUUUGGGAGCUAAUGGGAACAGAAAAGGACUUGUGCUUAAAUUACAGACUAUUUCUUAAUUUUGAAUCACUUGAGAACUCACAGCACAGUUCAAAGAUCUGAUCACAUGCAAACACUGCAUAUAACAAAAAUAAAAGACACUGCUUUUUUCUGUCCAGUAAUCUCCUCGACAUGUACAAUGUAACAAAUUAUGCAUUAGUCUUGGUGGACUUUUAUUUAUGAAAUUUCUUUAAUGUUUAACUGGUUCUGUCUGUGAUGCAGUAUCCUCUUUCACUGUUGGUCCUCUCUGUGGCAUGGUACCCUCCCUCACCAGUAGUUUUGUCUGUGAUAUGGAUCCUCUAACCAUAUAGGAAUUUAAGCUUUUGGGUAGUACGUCCAAAUGAAAACAGUAAAUAUGAAUUACAAAAGAAGUAUCACAAAAGAAGUAUUACUCGAGUUAGUAUGUCCCCACAGAACUUAUUUCUUGCUCUCCUUUUUUAAAGUCAGACAUCUGGCCUAUGAACACAAUUUAACUCUGAACGGAAUUCCAGGGUUGCUGCUACCUGGUCUGCAAAUGGCUUCCUUUCUUCCUCCCUCUCUGCACACCUAGCCCAGGCAGCCAACAUAAACCAAGGGUUGGUGACUUUUUGAGCGACCCUCACAUCCCUGUAUUCUUCUACAAAGCUUCACUGCAAAUACUCUCAAACAACUGUCUGCCCAAAUAGUAGUGUACAUUUUCUUCUCCUCCUCACAGGGCUUGGGUGAGUAAUUAAUGUGUUCAUAGUCCUUUGGCCAGUUUUGAUGUAUUUCUGGCAUUAUUCAAGGUUAAAACAUUUCAGAUGCCUAACACUAACUCCCAAAUAUUUCCCUAUGUGAAUUCUUUCAUUCCUCUAGCCUUUCGCUAUGCAGAAAGAAAGGCAGUGAAGCCCUUCUAGAUUCAGGGGAGAGUGGUAGGAAAACACUUGAGAGCUGGAGGACAGGAGAGCUGUGACAUGCUGUCUUUUAUGCAUGCCGUGACCAUUCGACUCAGGAGCUCACAGCAGCUGUGGUUACCUGCUCAUGACCUGAACAAGGCUGGAUCCACCAACGCUCAUGAGGCCUUACUGUGCCCCGAGGAGCUAAUGUGGUUAAUGGUUGCCAGGGACGGGGAAGUCAUUUUCUUGAGAGCUAUACCACUAGUAACUUGCCCAUGGUCUGGUAAAUAACCCCCAACUGUGGUUAUUUAAGCAACCCUAAUUAAACUCUGUGAGUCAUUAGAAGAUACUACGACAUGAAAGAGAUGAGCAGCAGAAAGAAGAGGGCACAGGAAGGGGUAGGAGGGUAAGGGCUUGAGUGUGGUCAAAACACAUACAUGUAUAAUAAUGUAAAAGAAUAAGUAAAUGGAAACAAUUUAAGGCAAGGACUAAAGAACAGGUUCACAGGUACCAACCACUCUCGCAGAGAGGAUCAGUAUAUGGUUAAAUGACUCAGAAUCUCCUGUAAAUCCAGCCCAGAAGACAUUCAUAAAUACUUUUUUGAACUUUUUAAAAGGCAGGGGUGGGGAUGAAAAACGACAUACACAACAGAGACAUUUUCCAGUGUUCCUCCUAGGCUUAAAACCAACAGAACCCUCAACUCAGGGCUUGUAAACUCUUGAAUGCCUUAACAUGGAUAGCAGAAUCUCACAGAAAAAUCCUGUCCAGUGUACACCAAUCACUGCUUUUUCUUUUUCCUCCACUGAUUUAUGUGUAGUACCAUUACUGGUCACUCGGCAGACAGUUCCCAAAAAGUUCCCAGAGUGUCCCUGAUGACAAAGCCUGGGUUCCUGUAGGGAUGCUGGGAGCUUUGGAUGGGUGGCCAAGCUGAGGUCAACUCAAUGAGACCUGAAGGGAUACCUGGAGAGGACACAGGGAAGGACUCUAUGUCCUCAUCAAAAAUAGGAGCGUAUUACUGGUUCUUUGAAACUAGCUAAAAGGUUGUGAUAGCCAUUUGUUGACAAUGAGAAGUUAAAAAUUAAAAGGUAAUACAACCAAAAGGGUGGAUCAAUGGGCUGGGACAAGCACGGACCUUUAACGACAGUAAAGAGAGCAGCUGCCUCCUCCAUGAUAUAACCCUUAGCUUUUUAGGGUCAUGACUGGUCUGUUUGCUUUUCUGGUAUGUUUAGCCUUCAUAUUCAUGAAAUGACAAGGCUUACAAUUUUAGGAACAUUUGCUUAGCAAACUUGCAACUGACUGGAUAAAUAUGACAUACUCAGGAUGUAUUUAUACUACCUAAUGCAGGAGCCUCUGGGCUUUCUCAGUCUAGAGCAGCUGCUCAUCCACCAAUGGAAUCAUUCAUCCACCAAUGAGAGCUGUUUUCUUUCAUUUCCUUCUGCCAACCACUGAGUGCUGAACCAGCCUUUACAAUGGUCACUGUGACAGGUACAAGGGAUACAAACCACCUCAGGGACACAAAACAACUGUACCCAUUUUAGAGACUAAGACACUGAGGUUCUUGGGGUCUAAAUGUUUUCCUACAUUAAAACUCUGUUUAACCAUGUAGGGAUUCAACUAUCUGAAUGUUUGUCUUACAAUUUUCACUGUAUAAUAUAUGUCAUAUGCUUCUCACUGUGCUUCAAAUGUUAACCAUUGCUUUACUUACCUAAUUUACAUGUAACAAGAAACUAUACUGCUUUUUGAUAUAUUUAAAUUUAGGUGAAAAGUUAAACCAAUAGCCACUUACCAGGGUGGGGUUUAUUUUACUGCCAUUUCAAGAAGAACUUGGAGCAUGAGGACUUAGGAAAAGGGCAUUAUACAACCAGGGCAGAUGUAAAGACAGACCAACAGAGUCAAACACAAGCUCCCAUCUACAUGAAAAUAUGAAUCUGCAUUCAUAAGAACGUCAGUAUACAAUUCAAGUUCAGAACUUAAUAAAAUAAUGGAAACUGGCUCUGCUCUCUACUGCUUUUCUUUAGAGAUUAUAUUAUUAGUGUUGACAAUUUUUAUGAACUAUAUGCUCACAAUUUAACAUGUGGCCAAUUUUUAAAGGGAACAUCUUUGUGUCCAUGAGAACAUGAGUGUUCUCCUUUUCACUUUUUUCCUUUUUUUUGUUCAGGGUGCCUUCUUGACAAAAUACAUCCAUUUCCUUACUAAACAUGGACAUUGUUCCUAAUGUCUGAAGGCCUCCCAAGAAUGAAUGCUCUGUGGAACCAUACACUACUGUGCUAUAGACAGGCACGUUAGGCUCCGGUCCACAGAGACACGUUCCCUGCCUGGCUGGGCUGGCACACUAGGUAUCUCUUCUCCCUCCUCUUGGUUAAUUCUCGCUAAUUCAAGAAGUUCUAAACUUGGAUGCAACAGUAACAACUGAAACAGUCUAUUUCCUGAGUAUUCUACCACAGUGCAGGCACACUGGUCAGUACUUUCCAGUGAAUCCCAUUUCAACCUGGUCUUGCAGUGUAACCGCAAAGUAUACAAAACAGAAGGCAGGCAUUAACAAUGUUUGCUGACUGCAUGAUAAUUUAGCUUGGAUACCUCUCGAGUCUACAGCUCGAAGCAACUGUUAUAAUUAUCAGACUUUUUAUAGAGGUAAAUUAGUUGAUUUAAGGCAAGGCUGAGGAAGCCCAAGUAGCAGUUGGUGGCUUGUGCAGAAAAGUUCCCUCACCCCUUUUUUUUGAAAAGUCCCCUUUUUAGUUCUGAAUUUUGGAAAAUUCUCCCAAAUUGAUUUUACUCAAAUAAUUCCCAGCUAAACUUUUCAUACUUUAUCAGAAGAGGUUUGAACCUUGAAAAUGGGUGGGGCAAUGAAAAAAAAAUCAGUCCAGCUCCAGGGCCACAUACCAUGUGUGCGCACAUCGUUAACUAGAAAGCUUUAGCCUCAGAGUUAUGGCCAAUGGCUGACUCCCCCUAUGUGCCCCCUGCCCUCAGUGUCUUUCACCUUUACAUCCCGGUCUCCAGCUUCAUCUUCACAUAAAGACGUCGAGCACAUGGUGCUGGUGCUUCCACUGCGGUGAGCUGACUUGGGACUUAGGGCUCUUGUUUGCCAUUAGCUUCCAUCGCCCAUGGCUUGUGGGUACAGGUAGGAGAAGGAUAUACACACUAGGUAGGACAAAAGCUGCUGUCCUUCCUGAUCAACCAAGGCACAAAAGGAGCCUCUUUCUUUCGUGAUACUAGGGAUAAAAAACAAGGCUCAGAAAAUACAGGGGAGAAAAUCAAUCCUGGUUUUCUCAAUAGUCUACCCAGAUGUCUGCAACCAAAUGUGUACAGGUCUCGUCUGCACCAGCAAGCAGGCUGGAUCCCAGCUGGGUGCCCUUCAAUUUGACUUAACUCUGAUACUGUCUAUCUGGGUAACCGUUUAUACCAUACUUAAGGCACAUUCCCUAAGAUGUCAGGCUCCAGGCAAAAACACCCCGGUACUUUUUACCCAUACUUCUGACUGAAUGGCCAGAAACAGGUUUUUCAGAACCCCCAUCUUCUGUGUUCGUUAAUUUGUUAGAGCAGUUCACAGAACUCAGAGAACAUUCCUGGUCUAUUUAUGAGGAUAUUAAAGAGGACACAGAUGAAGACCAGAUGAAGGGAUGGAGAGCUACAACAGAGCCUGUGGAAAGAGAUAAGGAACUAUCACGCUCUUUCCAGGAACUGACAGGAAGUUCUCCAAACACUUCUCUUCUUGGGUUUUUAUGGCGGCUUCAUUACACAAGCAUGGCUGGCUGAUUAAAAUCACCAGUUGCUGUAACCUUUUCCCCCCAAAACAUGUGGCAUGUUAGGACUUCUACCACAGCCAACUAUUCUUCCCAUAGUGCUGUGUUUUAUUGUUUUAUUUAGUUAACCCCCAAGCUGAAGCUACCUAAGAGCUGCCUACAGUAAAUUAUCUCAUUAGCAUACUACACACACACAACUCAAGGCUGACCACUUGUUUUGGGGGAAGGAAUUGGGACUCAUCCCUGAGAAGGAAGACUUCUCUCACUCUCAGCAUUUCUUAAUUGCCUAUAGUUUUUUUGUCUGUGAGUGGGGCCCCAGGAGAAUCCUUAUAAACAUUUAUGAAACAUUUUUAAACUUUCCAAUUUCAGUCUCUUCUAUGCCAACAGUUAGUAUCUAAGUCAACAGAUUAAGCUAAAUAAAAACCCACAAUUUUUAAGUGUCAGAAGGUUUGAGAGACUAAAACAUUAAAGAAUCUACUUAAUAUAUUAUUAUUAUCCAGUCUCAAAACAAAAAGCUUCACUCACUGAAUGCUUCAGUAAAGGCUGACUCUUCUAAUGCUGUUCAACUAUGGACAUCACUGUGGCUGGGACGGUGGUACUGACAGGCAAGAAAACAUUGAUAGGAUCCUUUCUAGUGCUUUGCUACCCAUAGUCAAGCCUGUGGCACAUUGGACAGACCACUAGAGAAACCAAUAAAAAAAAUGUGGCUA